ACCGCAGAGAGCAGAGAAAGGGAGAGGAAGCCUCAGGGAGCAGCCUGACUCUGCCUCCUCCUGGGGCCACCGCCCACCUGGCUGUCCUGCCUGGAGGGCUUUAAUCCAGGCACGAGCUGAAAAGGGAAGCCAGGUGAGAACUGAAACAGGAGGGCUCUAACCGCAUACACAAGACUGUGAUUAGGGAGGGGAGAGAGAGUGAGAACCCGCCCUGGAGGGUGAAACCAAUCUGCAGAAAGCAAGCAGGCCAGCAUGGAAGGAGGAGAUUUUAUCACCAGAGAGGUCACUCAUCAGCCUUAGGCAGAAGUCAUGGGGCCCCCUCCCCCCGAAGUUUGGCUGUUACCGUCCUCCAGGACCCGCUGCCUCGGGGCCGGUACUGAAGCCGGCUGAGCAGCACCCAGGCCUCGUUGCUCCACUGCAGGCGGCAGCGGCUGUUGGAGCCGUUCAGGAACUGGACGUGGACGUCCCACGGAGGCAGCGGCCUUGCUGCAGCUCUUAGCCCAGACAGGUGGGCUCAGCAAGAUGCCUCUGCCCUGGUUAUGUGACACAGUGGCCACACACCUGUGAGCCCUGGAGGAGCCUCAGGGUAAAGGGUACCUGGAACACACGGGGCCUCAUCCAGCUUACCGAGUGCCCUGAGGGGCCCUGCCCAGGCUGGGGCCUCUCUGGCAGCUGGUGCAUUUGUGGGGUUUAGAGCCCAGUGCUCCAGUUCUCCAGUGAGACCCCACCCCGGUAACCUCUGCACCUCCUAAAGCAGCUGUGCACAGGAGCUUUGAUCGACUUAGAGAACACAAGAGAUAUCGGCAAGGCUGAACCAAAACACACCUAUGU